GGAAAGAUUCAUCGGUAUGGGAUGGGGUCGCGUCCUAUCAGCUUGAUGGCGGGGUAACGGCCCACCAUGGCUUCGACGGGUAGCCGGCCUGAGAGGGCGACCGGCCACAUUGGGACUGAGAUACGGCCCAGACUCCUACGGGAGGCAGCAGUGGGGAAUAUUGCACAAUGGGCGCAAGCCUGAUGCAGCGACGCCGCGUGCGGGAUGACGGCCUUCGGGUUGUAAACCGCUUUUGACUGGGAGCAAGCCCUUCGGGGUGAGUGUACCUUUCGAAUAAGCACCGGCUAACUACGUGCCAGCAGCCGCGGUAAUACGUAGGGUGCAAGCGUUAUCCGGAAUUAUUGGGCGUAAAGGGCUCGUAGGCGGUUCGUCGCGUCCGGUGUGAAAGUCCAUCGCUUAACGGUGGAUCCGCGCCGGGUACGGGCGGGCUUGAGUGCGGUAGGGGAGACUGGAAUUCCCGGUGUAACGGUGGAAUGUGUAGAUAUCGGGA
rnacentral:rRNA from 1 species